AGCUCCAAUAGCGUAUAUUAAAGUUGUUGCAGUUAAAAAGCUCGUAGUUGGAUUUCUGGUUUGAAUGUCCGGUCCGCUUGUAAUUGCAAGUGUGUACUUGUUUGAUGUUUGUACCAUUUUUUGUGAGGAUGUUUGGCUGGCAUUAAGUUGUUGGCUUUACGGACUUGCAUCGUUUACUGUGAAAAAAUUAGAGUGUUUAAAGCAGGCGUUUGCUUUAUUUGAAUACAUUAGCAUGGAAUAAUAAGAUACGACUUUGGUGGUCUAUUUUGUUGGUUUGCACACCAGAGUAAUGAUUAAUAGGGACAGUUGGGGGUAUUCAUAUUUCAGCGUCAGAGGUGAAAUUCUUGGAUCGCUGAAAGAUGAGCUCAGGCGAAAGCAUUUACCAUGGAUGUUUUCAUUA
rnacentral:rRNA from 1 species